AUGGGGCCGCAUGAAUCGGAUAUGAAGUAUUUAGUCUUAGAGGCUGCAGGCAAAAAGAUGAAGCAUUGAGUAUGCGGCCGGGGUGCCGAAGCAUCAGCAUUUUAAAAGUCUCUUCAUCCACUGCCACAUCUCGCAUUAUGAACAUAAUGCUUAUACGGGCUACUAUUUUAUAAGAGAUGCAGGAAAUGAUAUAGUAGUAGAGGGCAACAAUGUAAUGGCAGAUGCAGGAAGGAAGA
rnacentral:lncRNA from 1 species